UACGGAGGGAGCUAGCGUUAUUCGGAAUUACUGGGCGUAAAGCGCACGUAGGCGGCUUUGUAAGUAAGAGGUGAAAGCCUGGAGCUCAACUCCAGAACUGCCUUUUAGACUGCAUCGCUUGAAUCCAGGAGAGGUGAGUGGAAUUCCGAGUGUAGAGGUGAAAUUCGUAGAUAUCUGGAGGAACACCGGUGGCGAAGGCGGCAUCCUGGACCAACACUGACACUGAGGAGCGAAAGCCAGGGGAGCAAACGGG
rnacentral:rRNA from 1 species